rnacentral:pre_miRNA from 1 species
GUGGGUACAAGGAAUCUACUUUAUUCAGAACACUAACCUAAUUUCCGAGACAUGUUACAUACCUGAAACAUGUCUUAGAAAUUAGGGGUUUUUCUUGGUUUGUGUGCUAAACAAAUUAGAUUCCUUGUACCCA